GACGGGGGAUGCAAGCGUUAUCCGGAAUCACUGGGCGUAAAGCGUCUGUAGGUGGUGAUGCAAGUCACUGGUGCAAAACUCUGGCUCAACCGGAGGAAAGCCAGUGAAACUGCAUGACUAGAGUGUGGGAGAGGUAGAAGGAAUUCGCUGAGUAGCGGUGAAAUGCGUAGAUACAGGGAAGAACACCGGAGGCGAAAGCGUUCUGCUGGAACACAACUGACACUGAGAGACGAAAGCUCGGGGUGCGAAUGGG
rnacentral:rRNA from 1 species